AUGAGUCGACCUGAUGGGAUCAACAUCCCCGACGACAAGUUCUACCUUGGAGAUGCUGGCUAUGCAUGUCGGCCGGGUAUUCUUCCACCCUUCAAGAAAACAAGGUACCAUCUCAACGAGUUCUCUGGUAGGAACUAUCCUAAGACUGCACAGGAAUUGUUUAAUCUCAGACACUCCAACCUUAGAGUAACUGUUGAGAGGGCAUUUGGAGCUCUGAAGAAUAGGUUCAAGAUCCUGGAUCAGAAGCCAUUCCACCCAUACUCCACUCAGGUUAAGCUAGUUCUUGCUUGUUGCACUCUGCAUAACUGGAUCCUCCAGUGGGGCUUUGAUGAACACGUGCCUGACGAUGUUGUUAGCUCCGGCCAUGGUCUGGAGGCAUUUGACAAUGACGCUUGGAAGAACAAAAGGUUGGAGUGGGCAGAGGCGAUGUGGCUUAACAGAGGUCAGUGCAGGAUUUGA
rnacentral:rRNA from 1 species